rnacentral:rRNA from 1 species
ACGUACACUCCUGCGGGAGGCAGCAGUGGGGAAUUUUGGACAAUGGGCGAAAGCCUGAUCCAGCCAUGCCGCGUGCAGGAUGAAGGCCUUCGGGUUGUAAACUGCUUUUGUACGGAACGAAACGGCCUUUUCUAAUAAAGAGGGCUAAUGACGGUACCGUAAGAAUAAGCACCGGCUAACUACGUGCCAGCAGCCGCGGUAAUACGUAGGGUGCAAGCGUUAAUCGGAAUUACUGGGCGUAAAGCGUGCGCAGGCGGUUAUGUAAGACAGUUGUGAAAUCCCCGGGCUCAACCUGGGAACUGCAUCUGUGACUGCAUAGCUAGAGUACGGUAGAGGGGGAUGGAAUUCCGCGUGUAGCAGUGAAAUGCGUAGAUAUGCGGAGGAACACCGAUGGCGAAGGCAAUCCCCUGGACCUGUACUGACGCUCAUGCACGAAAGCGUGGGGAGCAAACAGGAUUAGAUACCCCAGUAGUCCC